rnacentral:rRNA from 1 species
CAGCCGCCGCGGUAAUACGUAGGUGGCAAGCGUUGUCCGGAAUUAUUGGGCGUAAAGCGCGCGCAGGCGGCCUAUCCAGUCUGUCUUAAAAGUUCGGGGCUCAACCCCGUGAUGGGAUGGAAACUAGUAGGCUAGAGUAUCGGGGAGGAAAGCGGAAUUCCUAGUGUAGCGGUGAAAUGCGUAGAUAUUAGGAAGAACACCAGUGGCGAAGGCGGCUUUCUGGACGAAAACUGACGCUGAGGCGCGAAAGCUAGGGGAGCGAACGGGAUUAGAUACCCGAGUAGUCCCUGUCUCUUAUACC